rnacentral:misc_RNA from 1 species
GUUCAUUGAAGAUGAACGUUCUUUUGAACGCUGGGAUGAUCACAGUAUCAAUCUUCUCAGGCAUGAAUUUAUGCGAUUUGAGAAUGCUGUGGUGCACUGUGCCAUGCAUCCCUGGCAAAGAGAUGCUCGUUUGGUGUAUGAGGCUUUGAGGCUUGGUCCACAAUCUUAUGGUGUGAUUGUGGAGAUUGCAUGCACUAGAUCCUCAGAAGAGUUAUUGGGAGCAAGGAAAGCCUACCAUUCCCUCUAUGAUCACUCCAUUGAAGAAGAUGUUGCCACCCAUAUCACUGGCAGUGAGCGUAAGCUCCUGGUAGCACUAGUGAGUGCGUAUAGGUAUGAAGGGCCAAAGGUUAGGGAAGACACUGCAAAAUCUGAAGCAAAAAUAGUUGCUAAUGCUAUUAAAAAUGGUGAUAAGAAAAAUCCUAUAGAGGAUGAUGAGGUGAUAAGAAUUCUAACAACAAGAAGCAAGCUCCAUCUCAAGGCUAUUUACAAACAUUACAACGAAGUUUCUGGCAAAAGCAUCCAUGAGGAUCUUGAAGCUGCUGACUUGAUUUUAAAGGAGACAGUUGAAUGCUUAUGUACUCCUCAUACAUAUUUCAGCAAGGUAAUAGAUGAGGCAAUGAGAAAUGAUGCAGAUCACAACACCAAAAAUUCACUGACAAGAGUAAUUGUUACCAGAGCAGAUGUGGAUUUGAAAGAGAUUAAAGAAGGGUACAAUAGCUUAUACGGAGUCCCCCUUUCCCAGAAAAUUGAAGACAAUGCAAAUGGGAACUAUAAGGAUUUCUUGCUUGCCUUGAUAACAAAAGACUAAUUGGAGGAGUUAAGGAUGAGAACAGAAACUGAAAUUAAGAGGAAUUUGGUGAAAUGAUUGAAUUCUGGCUUCAAUGGUUAUGUUCUUAUCUUCACCUACGUUUUUCCCUUCAUCUGUGUUUCAUGAAAUGUUGCCUUGUGUGUGUAUGAGUUGUGGU